rnacentral:tRNA from 1 species
GUUUUAGAAAGAUAAUAGUUAUCUAUU